rnacentral:lncRNA from 1 species
AUGUCAGACUGGGCAGUGGACACCAGCUCCAAGAUCAGCACCGAGGACUUGAAGGAGAAGAAAAAAGUUGUGGAGGAGGCAGGGAAUGGAACAGUCAAAAUGAAGAAAAUGUCAAGCAGGAGGCUGACAAUGAGGUAGAUGAAGAAGAGGAAGAAGGUGGGGAGGAAGAGGAGGAGGAGGAAGAAGGUAUGGGUGAGGAAGAAGAUGGAGAUGAAGGUGAGGAAGCUGAGGCUCCUACAGGCAAGCGGAUAGCGGAGGAUGAGGAGGAUGACGAUGUCGACACCAGAAGCAGAAGACCGAAGAGGAUGACUAG